UACAGAGGGUGCAAACGUUGCUCGGAAUCAUUGGGCGUAAAGCGCACGUAGGCGGUCCGACAAGUGGGGAGUGAAAGCCCUCGGCUUAACCGAGGAAGUGCUUUCCAAACUGUCGGACUUGAGUACCCAAGAGGAUCGCGGAAUUCCCGGUGUAGAGGUGAAAUUCGUAGAUAUCGGGAGGAACACCAGCGGCGAAGGCGGCGAUCUGGGGGGAUACUGACGCUGGAGGUGCG
rnacentral:rRNA from 1 species